rnacentral:rRNA from 1 species
CCCUAUAGCUAUAUCACCCUGCAACUCACAACUGGUAACACACUGAAGCUAAGCGGGUGUGAGCCUGGUCAGUACCUGGAUGGGAGACCUCCUGGGAAAAACUAAAUUGUUGCUGGAA